GGCUGGCGCGAGUACUCACGAACACUGUAUGGAGCUGGAGUGGACUGGUGUGCGGGCUCACCUAUGGCCUGUCGGAGGGGAUCCACGCAGAGGUUGGCAAGUCCUACUCCCAGCUGGCCAAGACCCCCUAGGUGAAGAAGAAAACAGUGAGACCAGACUGUAAAUCUGUCCUGAGCAUCACAGUGGAAUAUGACUCCUUCUGUCUGAAGGCUGGAACCAGGGGCUAGGAACACAUUUGGAGGAGGACAACUGUAAAAUUCAGGUAAUUAAGAGACAUCUCAACAGUGGACUUACUACAGGCUACUCAUCAAGUACAUGACAUAGACUCAUUCCCAUCCCCUGAAACCUGGAGGGAGACUCCCACUGUGCCAUUUAUGUCUGAACUUUCUUGGGAGUUCUAUGCUGCUGUCUCCCCCUCUAUAGUGUUAAUAAUUUUUCUGAUAAAUCUCUUACCCCAAAAGAACAAA
rnacentral:lncRNA from 1 species